AGAGUUUGAUCCUGGCUCAGAUUGAACGCUGGCGGCAGGCCUAACACAUGCAAGUCGAACGGUAGCACAGAGGAGCUUGCUCCUUGGGUGACGAGUGGCGGACGGGUGAGUAAUGUCUGGGAAACUGCCCGAUGGAGGGGGAUAACUACUGGAAACGGUAGCUAAUACCGCAUAACGUCGCAAGACCAAAGAGGGGGACCUUCGGGCCUCUUGCCAUCGGAUGUGCCCAGAUGGGAUUAGCUAGUAGGUGGGGUAGCGGCUCACCUAGGCGACGAUCCCUAGCUGGUCUGAGAGGAUGACCAGCCACACUGGAACUGAGACACGGUCCAGACUCCUACGGGAGGCAGCAGUGGGGAAUAUUGCACAAUGGGCGCAAGCCUGAUGCAGCCAUGCCGCGUGUAUGAAGAAGGCCUUCGGGUUGUAAAGUACUUUCAGCGAGGAGGAAGGCGUUGUGGUUAAUAACCGCAACGAUUGACGUUACUCGCAGAAGAAGCACCGGCUAACUCCGUGCCAGCCGCCGCGGUAA
rnacentral:rRNA from 1 species